UCCAGACUCCUACGGGAGGCAGCAGUGGGGAAUAUUGGGCAAUGGGCGCAAGCCUGACCCAGCAACGCCGCGUGAAGGAUGAAGGUUUUCGGAUUGUAAACUUCUGUCGCGAGGGACGAAGAAUGACGGUACCUCGUAAGAAAGCCCCGGCUAACUACGUGCCAGCAGCCGCGGUAAUACGUAGGGGGCAAGCGUUGUCCGGAUUUACUGGGUGUAAAGGGCGUGUAGCCGGGUUGACAAGUCAGAUGUGAAAUCCUGCGGCUUAACCGCAGAACUGCAUUUGAAACUGUUGAUCUUGAGUACUGGAGAGGCAGACGGAAUUCCUAGUGUAGCGGUGAAAUGCGUAGAUAUUAGGAGGAACACCAGUGGCGAAGGCGGUCUGCUGGACAGCAACUGACGGUGAGGCGCGAAAGCGUGGGGAGCAAACAGGAUUAGAUACCCCAGUAGA
rnacentral:rRNA from 1 species